AUACGGAGGAUCCGAGCGUUAUCCGGAUCUAUUGGGUUUAAAGGGUGCGCAGGCGGCCAUUUAAGUCAGCGGUUAAAUCGUGGGGCUCAACCCCAUUCUGCCGUUGAUACUGGGUGGCUUGAUUGCGGUCGAGGUUGGCGGAAUUCGUUGUGUAGCGGUGAAAUGCAUAGAUAUGACGAAGAACACCGAUUGCGUAGGCAGCUGACCAGACCGCAAAUGACGCUCAUGCACGAAAGUGCGGGGAUCGAACAGGAUUAGAUACCCUGGUAGUCCGCACAGUAAACGAUGAAUACUUGUUUUCGGCGAUAUAAUGUCGGAGGCAAAGCGAAAGCGAUAAGUAUUCCACCUGGGGAGUACGCCGGCAACGGUGAAACUCAAAGGAAUUGACGGG
rnacentral:rRNA from 1 species